rnacentral:lncRNA from 1 species
AAGCGGGGGCAGAAGUGCAGCGGGUGCUGACGCAGAUCUGCCGGAGCUGUGGGGAUUUCCUUCAGAUUCAGGUAAGGACUUGAUUUCACUUUGGAAAUCUGAACGUCCUUGGCCUCUCGGUCCAGUCCCCUUCCCGCUCCCCUUCCACUGCGCAAUGGGACCGGAGAAAGAUGCCGCAGGGGAAGGGGAAGAGGAAUGGGAAUGGGACUGGAGGGAGAUGCUGCAGGGGAAGGGGGAGGGAAGUGGGAUUGGAAGGAGAGGGCGCAGGUUAAGGAUAAGGGUAAUGGGAAGGGGACUAGAGGGAGAUGCCACAGGGGAAGGGGAAAGGGGAAUGGGAUUUGGAAUGGGAUUGGAGGGGGAUGCCUCAGGGGAUGGGGAAGGGGAAUUGGAAGGGGACUGGAGGGAGAUGCCACAUUGAAUCGGGAAAGGGGAAUGGGAUUUGGAAUAGGAUUGGAGGGAGAUGCCUCAGGGGAAGGGAAAGGGAAUGGGAAGGGGACUGGAGGGAAAUGCCACAGGGUAAGGGGAAAGGGGAAUGGGAUUUGCAAUGGGACUGGAGGGAGAUGCUGCAAGGCUGGGGAAAAGGGAAUGGGAAAGGGACAGGAGGGAAAUGCUGCAGGGGAAGGGCAAUGGGAAUGGGGAUGUGACUGGAGGGAGAUGCCUCAGGGGAAGGGGAAGGGGAAUUGGAAGGGGACUGGAGGGAGAUACCAAAGGGAAGGGGGAACGGGAAUGGGAGUGGAGGGAGAUCCCAUCGGGAAGGGGACGGGGAAUGCAACAGGUGGCAGAGGGUGCAGAGGGAGACGGGGAAUGGGAAUGGAACUGGAGGGAGAUGCUGCAGGGGAAGGGGAAAGGGGAAUGGGAAUGGGAGUGGUGGGAUAUGUCGGAGGGGAAUGGGAAGGGGAAUUGGAAGGGGACUGGAGGGAGAUGCCACAGGGAAAAGGGAAAGUUGAAUGGGAUUUGGAAUGGGAUUGGAGGGAGAUGGCACCGGGAAAGGGGAAAGGGGAAUGGGAUUUGGAAU